UGUAGGUUUUGAAGACAGACAAGCUCUACAAAACACACUGGGCAAACCCAGGCUAUAAUCACGCUGAAGAGAGGAAGAGGUGAAGGAAGGGGGCAGAGGCCAUGGAUAGACUCACAAAGCUUCACACUGUACGUCUGCUUAAUUCAUCUCCUGCUAGACCCCAUGCACGGCUCUGAUUUUAUGCUUUGCAAUGUCACCUCUGCAUGGCCAGCUGGCUGAAUCAAAGGCUUCAGGAGCAUGCACUAUGAAUGGCGAGAUGAUUCAUAAACAUCUUCAGAAGGAGCUUGAGCAGCAAAGCCAACGGCUCGGGAAGGCCAGGGGAAGAUCGCCUACCUGCAGGGGCUGAAUGGGUCAUCCAUGACUAACAGAGGCUCUCGUGAGUCUAGCUGGAUUCCUCACCUCUACUUACUGCUAAAACUCUGCCCUUUUCUACUCUAAGUACUCAAAAUGGAGGCACAUGCAGGCUGAGAGACCUCACAGAGCUCUCACUGAGCUUGUGCUAUGACCUAAGCCUUCACGCAGAACGCUGAAACUUCCCUCACACUGACAGGACUGAGCAUGUGCUGUGACCCUCCCUUAUCCACACACUGUCUCUCCACAGCGCAAUCAAUCUCAACCCUGCUGUUUCCGUAAAUAAAGCCCAGCCAACAGACUCUGCAGCUUCUCCUAGCACACCAAGCUAGUGUGCAGGGAAGUGGGGCCUUAGAAAGGGGACUCCAGACAGCCGACACCAAGGAACUCCGCAAGACACAGGCUUCUCCAUAGGGAGAAGCGUCUGUCCACAGGCGACAACAGCAAGUUUUCUUUUGUCUUUUCUGUUUUUAAGUAAGUCAGGUUUUUAAGUAACCACCUUUUCAACAGAGAGCAAGAACUCGGGAACAGGUACAAAUGACUGCAGCUGGAAUUAAAUGCAGAAAUAGAAGCAUGCUUGAAGCACAGCGGCAGUGCAAAGAGAAGUCAACUAAACACACGUCUUUUUGAAAACCCUAUGCACCUGACAAAAAGACCCAGCAAGAGAGCGAACCAUACAGGUAUGGCCACAAUGGAGACGGCACUAACACAGCACAUAAGGAAUCCCAUGCUUCAUGCAAAAGAAGCCCCCGAAUCUCCAAGGGAUUAAAUUACAGCAGCUCCUAAGGUAAUUAGUAUGAGCCCAGCCAGGUCUCCAAGAACGAACUGUAACAAUAAAAACAGCGACAACGUUCAAAUCAAGGAUGUGGGGGCUAGGGGUGUAAACUGAGCAGCAGAGCACUAACCUAGCAUGAACUGGAAUGUGGGCUGACACUGACCCUCAGUAAAACAAACAUGCAUGCAUAUGUCCUCCCCCAAUGCCUAAAGACAUCGACUAUAAACACUUCGGCAUCCAGCAGAAACCCCCUCAUUUCAACUUCCCUGAUUCCUCCUACUAAGCCAAAUUCGCGUAGCACUAUUUAUGAAACUAAACCUAUUAAAAACUCAUUUUGAAAGAUUUCUAAA
rnacentral:lncRNA from 1 species